AGUAGCAUAAAACUUAAAAGCAGCAAGUCGAAAGUUUUAUAUAAUUUUGUUGUUGUUGUUGUUGUUGUUGUUGAUAUAUCAAAACUGAAAAUUAAAUUGAUUGUUUAAAAUGUUAUUUAUUAUGCAACAACUUGCUAAAAUGUUCAGUCGGUUACUUAAGUGAGUAUGCUAAUCAACACACUUUAUUUUUAGACAGGUCACAGAAGACAUAAAUAAACUAACGCAGUGGAUAGCAGGGAUAUGUCUCUUUAAACUGUUUAUGCAGUUGUAAGUAUUAUAAAAAAUGGCUAUAGUACAAAGGCUACCAAUAUUGGUCGGUCAGGAACUCCGAAGACAUAGGGUAAUGAAUUUUUCAAGAUCCAGACAUUCUUCUUGAUUUCAUAGACAGUUCUACACUGCAGCUGGUAUAAAAGUGACAAAUCAUGAAAGAACCCAGUCCACACAUGAAUUGCUAAGGUCAAUGCACUGAAAAGAAGGAAGUUGAAGUUAGAUCGACAUAGAGAUGGCUAGUUUUUUUGCUGUUCCGCUCUACAAUGGACUAAUUUGAGACCCUCUCCCCCUGGAUGGCUGUGCAAUUAUUUGUACAGGCAAUUCACUCCACCAGGAAAGAGUUCUGUGGACAUGAGGAGGAAGUAGAUGACAUUAGCACUUAGGUUAUUCUUAACUACGAAAAAGUUUACCGAAUGAUAGAAGUUCUGGCCAGAGUUUAAAGAGUUCUAUGUAUCAAUAAAAAAAGACAACAGACGAAACAUCUGGGAGCUUCUGCAGGAAAAAGAAGAAAGAAGAAUUAAAGGUUACCAAGCGGAACAAGGAAGAGAGAAAUGAAUUGUUACAUGGCAAUGAAGAAUAAACUCCUGAGAACAAAUUAAUGAAGUUUUUGUUAUUAUUUUUUUAUAUGCCUGGUGUGCAUCUGCAAUAAUAUACUGAUGAUCUAUACAUUGAUAUCAAGGAAUAGUUUGCAAUAUGAAGCACACUGUACGUAAUAUAUUUUAAAUGAAAGCUUAAGUAAAGAUGUACCUUUAUUAUUGACAAUUGCUAACAAAAAAUUAUAUAUAAAUUUCAUAUAUAAAAUGCAACACAUAUAUUACACAUAUAGAAUAUGUGUUUUACACAUAUAAAAUAUGCUAUGUUUAAUUUCACACAUGUUUGACACAUAUUAAACACAUGUUAAACAUGUGUGGAAUUAAACACUUUAUAUAUGUGUGCUCUUUUUAUGUGUUUUACACGUGUAAAAUAUAUAUGUAAAAUAUAUGUUAAACACAUGUUGCACACAUGU